CAGGUUUGUGAAUGAGGGAAGAAUUUGGUACUUCCCUGGGAAAGCUGAAAUCCUACUUGGCAGCCCGAUUUCUUGUCCCCCUUCUCCCCCCGCCCCCCAACCUUUUUUGUUUGUUUUUGUUUUUCUGAGGAACCUGGCUCUUGGGUACGGAGCCCUAAGUGUGUGCUCGCUUGGUUUUGAUUGUGUCGAUAAAAUGCGGUUUCAGAUUUUGCUCCAAAUGAGACCGGUUUCCUGUCUGUGUUCGAAGGGGGCGAAGUCUACAGGCUGCUGUUUUAAAAGGAGGCUGAGAGGGGGGGGAAAUCAGAAACAAAAAUGUGUUUUCAAAAGAUCUCCGCCACCGGCAGCCAGGGUCAUUCCAAGAAGCCAAGAAGCGGCGGCCUCUUUCCCCGUCCCCGUCCCCCCCCCCCCCCCCAUCUAGGUUUGGGGAAAUAAGGAUAAGGGGCAUUUCUGAAAGUAGCCCCAACCCAAGCGCAGACAACCCCCAGAGAGUCGUCUCUGCCCCCUUCAGCUCCAUCCCAUCCUGGCCACACCAGUUCCCUCACUGACUUUCCGGCGUGACCCUCCCUUCCCGCUCCCAGAGAGUCGGGAUUUCCCACGGUCCCUCAAUUCACCCAGGCCCUGCAGCUGCCACUUCGCGUGCCCAACUCGAAAUCUCUGGCCCACGUCAUGUGACUCGGUCGAUCAAGUGUCCAGUCCAGAGUCUUGGGCCUCUCCACCAUCCCGAAGCCACCGCAACCGAAAUGGUGGGAGCUGGAGAUGAUGGGCUGGAUCUGACAGGUCAGCCCGCCUUGAAGGGCGAGGAACGCACGUUGGAGUUUAGCACCUACUGACCAAUGAAGAAAGGCCCUCGCCAUCCUUCCUAUAUGUCUCCCCUUUCCCGGAGGCGGUCGAGUGGUCAUUUGCAAGACGCUUCCAGGGGAAACGCUCGAGGAAAGCUCGCAGGAGCGUCUGUGGAUGCAAAUGCUGUCGUUGAUCUCAGGCCUAGCGACUUGGACGAUCAGAAAAACGCUCGACGUACUUACGGAAAGCGCCCUCAAACGUGGUAUCCAAGUUGCUGGUUUGAGGAAAAGGCACCAGGGUUUGCUCUUACACCUGGCAUGAAGGCCUGGGAGAGAUCGAAGGUGAUCUCAACAAGAAAGCUGCCUGCUCCCUCACUCCAAGGUGCCGUCCGGUCGCGAUCUGAGUUGGGUGGCUGGCCGAGCGAAGACUCUGGGAAAUAAACACCUCCGUAUUCGCUUUCUGUGAGCAAGGCCACCCCGCCCCCAGCCUACUACUCCUUGGUUCUCUAUGUCUGCAAACCCUGGCCGCCAGAACAACGAAGUGACCCUGCUCUGCGAAGGCCCCCGUUCGCGAUGGGAAGAUGGGUCUCAUUCGCACCGAUUCUCUCGGUCCCGCACGCCGUCAUCGUGACAGUGGGACGGCGGGCACACGCUCCUUUUGGGGGGGUUUGAAUUCAGCUCCGGGGGUUAGAGGAUGGGGGAGGGGAGAGAGAGGAGGGGUGCUUGAAAGCCCCAGGGACCCUCUUCGUCAUGCCUUUCCUUGAAAUUUGACUUUUAUCACGUUAAAAACCUGCAGCGGCUCCAGAGAGCGCAGCCUGGAUUACCAAGACCCAAAUCAAUCAGAGAUCUCCCCUGGCACUCCGCCUGUCAAAGGGGACUUUGGGUGCUCUCCCCUGGGAUGCCGGCUCUAGGCCGGCCUUCCAGAAAGCAUGGCUAGGCAGGUCCAAACUAACCAUCGAGGCUUUCAGGAUGACCACUCUUCCCCACCACGCAGCAUCACUUUACAUAUUCUCUGCCUGCUGUUACCUUCAUGGGUAGCCCAGCCUACGCCCGCAGAUCUCUCCUUCGUCCAUUCCAGGAGGCCUCAAAUCAUUUCAGUUUAGGUUUCGUACCCGCAGAGGGUUCCCCAGCAAGCUUCUCUCUUUCCCCCAGCCUCCCAAUCGGGUGUGGCGCCCUCCUCUAUUUGUAGAAUUGUACUUUCCAAGCGCCUAGUACAGGGCUCUGCAUACGGUAAGUGCUCAAUAAAUACGAUUGAAUGAAUGAAUGAAUUUGUUUCCCUUCAUUUGCACCCCGGAAGGAUGCUCCUAAACCACAAGUUACAACUCACAAUUAUUUGUCCCUAAGCACUAAAAAGUGUAAGUUAGCCACACGGUCUGGGAAAGACGUAUCCCUCUCCCGUUCCCGCACUCCCCUACCCCCACCCCUACCACCCCAAUUUCCCUUUUACGGAACAGGUGAUCGAACGCAAAUUUCCCCUUGUAGUCCUCAAAAGCAAAGGAAUGGGGUCCCAUUAAUGAAUUGCAAACAUAGCAUGGCUUCUUGGGCCAGAAUAUCCGUCUCUGUAUGAUUUGCUGCCUGGGCACUGUGAACUUUACACGGAAAAACUACGAGGUUGUAAUAAAAAAAAAUUAAUAGA